ensembl:lncRNA novel transcript
GCAGACGUGCAUCCCUUCCGGCCUGAGGGCCCUCCUGGCCGUGACUCCCGCCCCGCUCCUCCUCCAAAGAGAGAUCGGGGCCGCUGACAGGGGCCCUCCGUAGCCAUGGGGGAUGGGACUGGGGGGUCGGUUCCAGCCACGGUGCAGCCGCCGCCGGGCAGACCGCCGGGCUUGGCCGCAGCCACGGCGACAUCUAGCCCCGGUUCUGCGAGGCUUGGGAGCGCCAGCCAGCUUGGGAGUGGCCAGGCAGCUGUUGCCAGCAGGACAGCGCGCUGGGAAGCCAGGGGCCGCGGGGACCUGGGGCUGGAAACCACAUCUGCCCACAGCCACAGUCUCCUGCACCUGUCAUCCUGGCGGCGCCCUGGCGUCGGAGAAGCAGCAGACGCGGAGCUCCUGCAGCUGGCACCGCUGCAGCAACCGGUCCCGGUGCAGGCGUCAGUGGAAGGCGGCCUCCUCGCGCGGCUCCCGUGGCCUCAGGACCAGGGGUGCGGCCAGCACCGCCCUCACGCCCCGCACCUCGUCUACAUUGUCCUCCCUGGAGGCGGCUGGACCUGAGUAAGGCUCACAGCGAUCGGCCCCCGCAAGGACUGGCAUGCAGGGCUCAGGAUCCCGCACUCUGGCCCUGCGGCACCGCACCUUUCAGCAGCAGCUGGAACUCCUGCAGCAGCGCCUUGGGUGGGAUGCUGGGGCCCGGGGUUCCUGGCAGGCCGAACUUCAGCUUCUUGUCUUGGCCCCUGAUCCUCUUCCUGUUGUUGAACCUUUGUCACUCUGCAACGAAAAGCAUCCAGGCGUCCUUGAUUUCGGCACUGCGUGCACGCUCAGCCGAGCUCAUCGGACGGGCGGUUCUCCCCAGGCCCGCUGGCAGCUUGUUCCCUGGGGGCGGCUCCUGGACGCAGCUCUUUGCAGGCCCACCAGGCUCAGGGGAGCCAAGGCCCGCCGCGGCCAACAGGCCUGUGGAGAGUAAGAGUAAGGUGGGCUCUGCAGGGCAGCGGCCCGGAACCAUGAGAGAAGCGCGUCAGUCUGGGCUCCAAGCGCAGCCUCUCGGGAUUCUCCGGGACCCACGGCUUAUAAUGCGCUUAAAUCCCACGCCUCGCACGAGAGACAGCAAGUCACCGUCACCGCCUACCGCCCCUGACCCGCUCCCACUCUCGCUGCAGCGGAGGGUGUGUGGGAGAGAGAGGGACGCAGGGAGGGAAAAGCGCGGGGAGGGCGAACAUCUUUUCAUAAGCUUUCCGCCUUCUAUAUGCCAUCUCUGAUGGGAGCCUCUUUAGAUCUUUUGUCCAUUUACUAAUUGGGUGGCUUGAAUUCUUAUUGUUGAGUUGUAAGUGGUUUUUAAUGGUCUGGAUGCAAGACAGGUGUUUUACAAAUAUUUUCUUCCUGUCUGUGGCUUGUUUCUUCAUUCUCUUAAUAUUUCCUUUCCCAGAGCAAAAGUUUUUAAUUGUAACGAAGUCACAGAUGUGACUCACAGAUGUGAGCCACCGCACCCAGCCAAAAUUGAUACAUUUAAAAUAUACUAUUUUUAAUAUAAAUGGAAGAUGGAGAAUCACUAUGAGUAUUUCAUUAAUAUUUUGUGGGAAGCCUAAUAAAAAUAAAAUUUCCUGUGAGUAUACCUCACCCCUCCAAAUGUUGAGGCACUUCUCCAAGGAACAGUUCUUUGGCUGAUUUUUGGUGUUUUAUCUUCCACCAGUAGUAAAAUGAAUGACAUGACUUAUGGCCCAAGGCUUUACUCAGAAGCUUGGUGCCUGUUACCAGCGCUGCUGGGAGCUCCUGAGGUAGACACAAAGGCCAGGUGUCAGGGAGACUACCCAAGAGCAAAGAGCCGGAGAGGGGAGGCAGGUGCUGUUGGACAAAAUUGCCAUCACUAGGCAGGUGCUGUGAAUACAACAUAGAUCUGAGUCAGAUUCCAUAUGCAGGGUCCGGGGUGAGUGCCUCGGAUCACUGUCUGGCUGGAAUUCUCCAGAAACCUGGUUUAUACAGUGUAAUUGAAACUUGAAGCAGCAUCUGAUGCACUUGGGGCAAGGCCGAUUAGAACUAGGUGAUUGGAACACGGUCUGGCUAGGAAGGAAGGGACCAUGCGCAUCAGGGCAGAAACCGCAGGCGGGCAGAUGGCCAUUACAGCCCAGCGGGCUGCCCAUUACUCUCCUCCAGGCCCAGGAGACUAAACACACUUGAGUCGCAACUGCCUCUGGACGUGGGAACUGUGGUCUUGUUUCCAGUCACCUAUCUCAGCAAGAAGGAGCUUCCGUUGUGCUUGCAGACUUGACCCUACUAGUCUGGGCUGGGGAGUUCUGUGUCUGCCCAUGGCUGGUCAUUAUUGUCUACAAAACCUACUGUGUGAUCUGUAAGAAUUUUUAUGACUAGCUAGCUCAAGGGCAUGAUGACAUGCCUAUGCUAUUGCUGAGGGAAUAUCUCUGUUUUCAGGUGAAGGUUUUUUCUAAUUUUAUGUUCAGAAUUACAUACAAGAGGCACAGUGGAGGUAUAUAAAUGAAGAUGAAUCCACCAGCAUUCUUUCAAAAUACUGAACCACACUUUCUGGUAGACAUUGGGGUGGAGUGGCUGCAAGCAGAGUGUCUGGGUUGGAAUUCUCAUUCCACAGCUUCAUGCUAUGCGAUAGUGAGUAACUUACUUUUCCUCUCUGUGUCACAGUUUCCUAGUCUCUAAAAACAGAUAAUAGUGACCUACCUUAUAGACUGUUAUGAAGAUUAAAUUAAUUUAUAUAUGUAAAUAAGACUUGGAACAUAGAUUUUCUGUAAAUGUUAGCCAUUGUUAUUGCUCCUAUUGACCUGAAGUAUAAAAACAGAAAUGUGACCCUGGUCCUUGACCUUGGGUGGCAUCACCAGAUAAGCAAUAGUUUAGGGAAAAAUGUUUGUACUGGGUAUUUUCAUUAUUCAAAAUAUUAUUAAUAAUGUGCUAUUAAGAU